GGAGUUUGGGCCGUGUCUCAGUCCCAAUGUGGCCGUUCACCCUCUCAGGCCGGCUACUGAUCGUCGCUUUGGUGGGCCGUUACCCCGCCAACUGGCUAAUCAGACGCGGAUCCAUCUCACACCGAUAAAUCUUUUACCCCUGCACCAUGCGGUGCUGUGGUCUUAUGCGGUAUUACCAGCCGUUUCCAGCUGCUAUCCCCCAGUGUGAGGCAGGUUAUCCACGCGUUACUCACCCGUGCGCCGGUCGCCAUCUGGAAUAGCAAGCUAUCCCAAUGCUGCCCCUCGACUUGCAUGUGUUAAGCCUGUAGCUAGCGUUCAUCCUGAGCCAUAAUCAAACUCU
rnacentral:rRNA from 1 species